rnacentral:rRNA from 1 species
UACGGGGGGGGCAAGCGUUGUUCGGAAUUACUGGGCGUAAAGGGCUCGUAGGCGGCCAACUAAGUCAGACGUGAAAUCCCUCGGCUUAACCGGGGAACUGCGUCUGAUACUGGAUGGCUCGAGUUUGGGAGAGGGAUGCGGAAUUCCAGGUGUAGCGGUGAAAUGCGCAGAUAUCAGGAAGAACACCCGUGGCUAAGGCGGCUCACUGGCCCGAUACUGACGCUGAGGUGCGAAAGCGUGGGGAGCAAACAGG